ACCUCGGUUACUAAACCAAUAAACCAUGUGUAGUGUCCGCGAAAAAGAUAAGCCAAGAGGUACCCGAAAACUAGACGUUAAGAUUAAAAUCUCGGAACUAGAGGGUGAAUUACAACGAAUGAAACCACCCCACACCUCCAAAACGCAGAAGUCUUCCACAAAGUGGGAUACGCCUAUGGAGGUGUUCUCGAAAUCCUGACGACGCACCCCUGUGCUCACCGAAAGGACACGGAAGCACUGGA